GAUGAACGCUGGCGGCGUGCCUAAUACAUGCAAGUCGAGCGAACAGAUGAGGAGCUUGCUCCUCUGACGUUAGCGGCGGACGGGUGAGUAACACGUGGAUAACCUCCCUAUAAGACUGGGAUAACUUCGGGAAACCGGAGCUAAUACCGGAUAAUAUAUUGAACCGCAUGGUUCAAUAGUGAAAGACGGUUUUGCUGUCACUUAUAGAUGGAUCCGCGCCGCACUAGCUAGUUGGUAAGGUAACGGCUUACCAAGGCAACGAUGCGUAGCCGACCUGAGAGGGUGAUCGGCCACACUGGAACUGAGACACGGUCCAGACUCCUACGGGAGGCAGCAGUAGGGAAUCUUCCGCAAUGGGCGAAAGCCUGACGGAGCAACGCCGCGUGAGUGAUGAAGGUCUUCGGAUCGUAAAACUCUGUUAUUAGGGAAGAACAAAUGUGUAAGAAACUAUGCACGUCUUGACGGUACCUAAUCAGAAAGCCACGGCUAACUACGUG
rnacentral:rRNA from 1 species